AUAUACUUCUCUGUAAGAGUCAAAAUCUGCUUCUCACUGUGGCGAAAGCCAGACCACGGGUAGCCCUACAUGGAAGUUGUACAGCCAGCAGAGAGCACAGGAGCAGAGUUAUGGCAAGAGGCACAUCACCGGGUCUCUGAUGAGAUCAGCCAUGGAUACUGUGGAGUGAGAAGGAAGUCCCUUAUCACAGCACACAUGGGUUUGCUGGGUUUGGGUCAGCAUACUUAGAAGAUAGAAUUGCACUGGCAGCUCCCCAGUCUCUCUCAGGUGGACAAAUGAAGACAAAAAGGCAGAAACAACAAGCCUGUGGCCUCACAUCAAGCCUGCCAGAAACAGAAUGGAAAUGCAGGAGUCUGGCAUAACUUCCAGAGGUCUGAUUGCCCUGCGGGGGAUGUGCUCAGCCUCUACCUGGAGAUAGAGUACCAGAAUAUCCCCAGUUGGAAAGGGAUAUCCAACCUGCCCCUCUCCUGACACAGCUCCAUGCCGUUCCCUCGGGCCCUGUCGCUGUCACACAGAGCAGAGCUCAGCGCUGCUCCUCCACUCCCUGUGAGGAGCUGCAGCCGCCAUGAGGCCUCCCCACAGCUCCUCUGCUCCUGGCUGAGCCAACCAGGGGACCUCAGCUGCUGUUCAUACGUCUCCCCUCUAGACUUUGGGGUUGUUUUGCUUUGCAAUCAUCCCCUCCAUCAAUGCCUGUUAAAUUGUUUGUCUUUAUGCACUCAUUUCCAUCCCCCACUUCUUAACUCCUAUAAAACAGGCCCGCUGGCCUUUGUUUGCAGUGCUGGAAAAGGUGUAAUAACAAUAUUUCCAAUAUUCAAUAUUUUUGUUCAAACCAUCUUGAGAAAACAUUUUUUAAUGAAACACAUUUACUACUCCUCAUUUCUGUGUGAUCUGUCUGAUUUCCUAACUCUUCAAAAUGACAAAAAACAUUUGCCUGCUCAGAGAUGUUGGCCCUAAGCCCAUCACGCCCACGGGCUGUGGUUGUAUGAUAAGAAAUGUUUGCCUAAUUCUCCAUACUCUGGAAUUAUAACCUUAGUAUAAUGAAGAGAAAAAGCCCUUUACAUAAGCAAUUCCACCAGAACAUGGAAUUAAAGGACGAAUCCAAUCUAGGCAACUCAGGGGAGCAGCAUACAUGUAUUUACUUUCAGAGAUUACCUCUUGGAGAGCGCAAAGAUACUACAGUGAGAGUUGCCAUUCUAAAAUCAAAAUACAGAUGGCUGUAGUCACAGUGAGACUGCUCCUGAGUGUACCAGAAAUGCUUCUGCCUCUGCUUUCUGCAGCUUGCUCUCAUGCAAGACUGGCAGAUAACCAGUGCAGCAUGGGUUAAAAAAAAUAAAUGGUAGACCAUAGAAUCCAACUUUGCAAGCUGUCAGUCUGUUCAGGUAGAUGUUAACCGACCUCAGCUCUUGAUUUCAGUGCUUUGCUAGGCUGCUGGGCUAGGCAGAAGAAGGCAUGCGAUAUACUCAGUGCUUUCAACAAGACUCUCUGCCUGUGCCAGUUUUCUUCUCCUGUGGAUGGGAUGAGACACAGAUAGUAUUUCUUGGUGAGUUGUGGGUAUUUCUGCAAAUCACUUAAAUGACCUUGCAGCAAUUCCAGCAGAUAACAUUAUACAUUCUCCCCCUUCCUUUAUAAAUCACAUCUUUAUGUCUUUUAGGCUUAGGGAUACAAUUGUCCCAUUGCAUGGCUCACUACAACAAAAUGUUUCUUUCUCACUGUGGUGACUUACCACUGUGCAAAUGCUUCUUUGUACUUCCUGAUACCAAAAGCUACUCACAAACAAUAGAUGAACUGUUUAUGUUUAUGUAGCUUUCCCUUUCCCCAGAAUUGACACAACAGUUUCAUUUUGAAUACUUCAGCAUCUGUUGAGUCUGUACUCUACAGGGUCUUCACAUCCUGCUUCUAAGCACACUCUGAUAUGUUCCUUCCCUGACAAUGCUAGGCAGCACAGGGGCUGGUCUCUUACCUCAUGUCCAGCUUUCUCAGGGAGUUGUGGGUGCUCCUCUGCCUGUCUCUCCAGCAGGGCCCCAUUCAAGGGCAAUAUCCAGCCCCUGACCAGGUAUGUGCCGCAGUGGCAAGGCAUGUCCUACUGCACUGCUUUCUCCCAUCAUAAAUGUUUUCUUUUGGCUACUUUCCAAGCUUUGCUGUUGGCACAGUGACUUCCUGAGCACCCUCCAGCUGCAGCAUGAGUCAUGCACAGAAUGUGGGCACUGCCCUGCUCUGGGCUUCAGUCUUCUUAAAUAUGAAUAAGCAUAGUGGCCAGCCACAGAGGAUUCUAAAAUGGAGAAGAGCAACUGACCAGAGACUUGUAUGUGAAACAAGUCCCUGAGAAGUCUGAUGCUGGUCAUAUGGACUGCUCUUGGCCUACCCACAUACGCUAUUUUCUAUUCCUGUUGUGAGCAUGGCUGUGCUGGAAGCAUGAGUGAAGCAUGUUAGGCAGAUUCAGCCAAACUGCAGAGCAAUAGGAUGUACACUGUAGAAGAGAGAGUUAGAUUUCACUGCUUCAAGACUUGUCACUGCAGGACAGCCAGGACACCAAGCUACUGGACCACCAAGAUGGCAGCCAGGUGCUGCCUGUCAGGGGAAGAGGAACCUCAUGCAGCACAUAAUGGCAUGCCAUCUCAGGGUCGUGUGGGCCCUUGAGGAGGAAAGGCAAGCUAAUGAGGGAAGCAGAUGCAGUUUAGCCAUUCUUGUGUGUGCCACCAAGCAUUCAAGCAGCGCAAGUGUAGGCGCUUGUGCUCUUCAGCGCUCACCUCCCACAGCAGCCGGUCUGAAAGCUCCUUUCCCUGGCACUUCUCUUUACUUGUGAAUGGCUUCUUCCACAAAUAUCUACCACGAAUAUGCACAGAAUAAACCGCAGGUUACAGGCAAGAAAUGAUAGCAAUUUUUUUCCUCUGUUUCUUUCAUCUCUUAAACUAGCUGAAAUAAAUUAGCUAUGCUGCUGCCUUAAAUCACUGAUCACCUUCAGCAAGGUUCCCACUUUUUCACACCAAGUUUGCAGGUCAAAGUCCUAUUCUUUGUCAGAUCAGCUGACGUAGUUUGAGAAGUAGCCAAGGUUUGGGACAUAAUAGUUUCUUUUUUAUAUUUGGAAUGGAAGAAGCAAAAGAAAAAAAAAAGGAUCACUUGAAAUAUAGGUGAAUCAAAGCAAUUUCUUCUCUCUUUCUGGCAACAUGCAAUAGAUUUGACUUUCAUAUCACAUAAAUAUUGGGGGAAAAAGAAUGAUGUUUUAAGUUUUCAUUAGUAGUGGAAGAAAAGUAUUCAAAAGGAGCAUUCGCAACCAAAAGUCACUUUGUCAUGAAAAUUACGUAACUGCUACCAAAAAAAAAAACCCCUACCAACCGUAGAACAUAUUUUGAAGACCGGAAUCAGCUAACAAAGACUCCUUACUUGAUGAACAUAUAUUCACAUCCAUAUUCAAAACCUUUUAAAAUCAAUGGGUAUGUCGUGUUAAGAAUUAAGAUGGACUUUGAAAGGGGUGUUUCAACCAACCAACCAACCAAAAGCCACUGGGCUGUUAUUGGGGAAGCUUCCUCUCCAUUGUAAAAAAAAAAAAAACAACUGCAAACCACAACUUUUUUGCAGAUUCUUCUUCAUUCACUUUUGCAAUGACCAUGAGUGCUUAGCCUACCCCUUGAAUGUCCAGACAAAAUUCGUUAGCAGAUGCUCCAUUUCUACCAUAAGAACUAUAGCAGCUCUGGAGCAGGGAACAGAAAAGUAAUUGAUUCUCACCCACUGCUGUAAAUUCAUUGUUUCUCUCUUGUCAGUCACUGUCAGGGGUAGUGUAGGAGAAUGACUGAGAAGCAGAUGGCUACAUCUAAUAAAUUUUGCAGGCUCAUUUUGAAACCACCAAGGCAGUCAGCAGAAACUCUUCUGCCUGUGCUCCUGUCACCGGCAGCACUGAAGUCAUGUUCUGUGUGCUGCUGGUUGGUAAGCUGGUCAGGUAGGCAGUGUCAGCCUCUACCGAAAUGCCCAAAAUACCAGAGCAAGUUUCUUCCUCUUUAGUACAUGUCCCAUGGGGGUGGGAGCAGAGGAGAAACCUGGGGAACAAGUAGAAAUAAAUAGAAUGAUGCAUACCUCCUUCUUGAGGCCACUUUGAUGCUUUCUAGCACAACCGUGUGCAGGAUCGCCAAGGACUCUUUAGUAUUCAUCAGCUGCAAGAACCAAUUGCUGGAUCGUGCCGCUGGUGAUUUUACUCCCUCAGCAGGACUCACUCUCCUUCUUGCUUUCUGACAGCUCAGGAAGCUAUUCUCAGUGCAGGGUUGGGUGGGCCCCAGUAAUAUGUUGCAUAUGCCUUCAGCAGUUUUUCAAAGCAAUGGUACUUCACUGUAUGUACAUAUGCAGGUAUGCAUGCUGUUGUGGGUACGUUAUUAUUAGGCAGGCACGUUUUGCAGCCAUGCCAAAUACUUGUUAUCAUAUGAUAUCACAGAAUGGCCUGAGUUGAAAAGGACCAUAAUGGUCAUUGAGUUUCAACCCCCCCCUGCUAUGUGCAGGGUCACCAACCACUAGACCAGGCUGUCCAGAGCCCCAUCCAGCCUGGCCUUGAACGCCUCCAGGGAUGGGGCAUCCACAACCUCCUUGGGCAACCUGUUCCAGUGCAUCACCACCCUCUGUGUGAAAAACUUCCUCCUAAUAUCCAACCUAAACCUCCCCUGUCUCAGUUAAUACCCAAUGGAGAACGGAGGUUCUCUGAAGAGAGUGCAGGGAGUCAAUUUCUGUUGUCUGUAGAAUCCAGGAAAGAAAAGAAAAUCUGUCCUCAAGGAUUCCUGUAAGUGACAUAUUUAAUAUUUUCUGGAGGAAAAAGUUAGUUUUCUCACACUGCUUCCAUUUUACCAAGAAAGUAGUCGCGUAUGCGUAUUCUGAGUAUAUAAAAUUGAUGGAGAAUAAUUAUGUAGUUAUUAGAAGCAGGAAAAAAUGGUUACAUGUUACUUACUUUUAGCCUGAGAACAACUUUGUAAAUAGUUCUUCAUAUAUUUAGAAAGUAAUAGUUCACCUACCUAUGAUAGAAGAUCCUUGCAGGUCCCAUGUGUCAGAGCAUGUCAGAACAGCCUCCCCUUUCAGACAGUCUGCAGGUAGAGGACUCAAAUGCUGUUGGGUUUUUUUGUUUGUCUGUUAUUUAAUAUAAUUUGCAGUUGAGCAGGUGAAAGAGUAUUAUGCUUGUUUUUUGUCAGGAGAGUUCUGUGUUGCAGGUUAGUGACCAUGGAGUUGAGCAGGGCAUUUACAGGCACAGUGAGGCAUUUGCCUGGCAGACCUUCACAGUAAUCCGUGGAAAGAAGGAAAAAACAAAAGAUCUAAGAAUUUUCAUAACAAAAUCACAUCAAGACAGCUUCUUUUCCAGAUAUGUAAAAACUUUGAAUGAUUUUAAAUCAAUAACUUCCCAACUAAACCUGAACAUUUGUUGGCUUGCUUCUCUGAAUACUAAGAUAAAAGCAAAGCAUUUGGUUGAACAUUCUUGAAAAGCUAUUUUUGGCAUGUACAGCUAACCAGAGCUUGCAAAUUUUACAUUUCAAAAUGCAACUAAAUGUUUUGUAUGUUGUUUUAAUAUCUUCAAAUCACUUCCAGGUUGUAGAAUGCAAAAAUAAACAAGCAAACAAAGGAAGGAAGGAAGGAAGGAAGGAAGGAAGGAAGGAAGGAAGGAAGGAAGGAAGGAAGGAAGGAAGGAAGGAAGGAAGGAAGGAAAGAAGGAAGGAAGGAAGGAAGGACAGAAGGAGGGAAGGAAGGAAUAGAAACCUGUGCUGUGAAAUCAUUCUUUGAAGAAAGUGUAUAUUGCACACUUGAUAAAAGAGCACUCUACUCAGAAAGCCCAGUGCACAGAGACACACAAAUAAACUUUUGAUACAACUGUAGAUCUCCCACUUGUUUAAAGAAACCAAGCCAUAGUGCUAGACAUAAUGGCCAUAAAUAUAGUUAGUGCAAAUGAUGCAUUGUUAGGUCUUCUAGGGACAUAUCUUCAGUGAUGAUCUCUGCUUUUCCAGGCUGCUUCCAGCUGGGAAAGCAUUCAGUUUCUAUGAAACAUGUCCUUCACACCUUCUCAUUUAGUUAUGAGUAUUCCUGUUAAACACCACAGCUGGUAGUUUCCACUUUUUAAUUGGCACAAAAUAGGUGAUUAUUUCAGAAAAGAAAAGAUCGCUUUGUUUUUGGAGCUGCAAGUAUAUUAGUAUUAGAGGUGUUAUUUUGUGAUAUUGAACAGCUGAUAGCUGUCUCUCCACACAUGCUUUCCUCAGACUGAGGAAAAUAAUCUAUAACUCUUAAGACCAAGUGUCUAAUACAUUCUGUUGUGUUCCCGGUGUGAGCACUUCCUUCCAUAACUCCCCUUUUCUCACCAAUAGCAUUUCACCAUUGAUGUGAAAAUAAUGUAGGAUACAAAUAAUGUUUUCCAUGAAAUAGCAGUGGGUUUCAGUCUCUGCUGUGUCUGCUGUGUUUGCUUACUGCAAUAAAUGACUUUCCUUUCUUUUUGUGGGGAGACAAAUAAUGUGUGCUAGUAUAUUAUUUGCUUUUCUUCAAUAUCUGUCUUGCAGAUUGAGAGUGCACAUAACCAUUGGUUUUGGAAUAAACCUUUGGAGACUGCAGCAUUUCUUGCACUACACAAAGUAGAAGGUAUGGGGUUUUGCCACUUCUUUUGUGUGUUUCUCCUACACCAGGUAUUUUGCCUAUGAAAAUAGAGUAUGGCAAGAAAACACACUUGCAAUCCUUCUUCCAGUUUCGAUAGUUUGCGUCCACUGUUACAAUUUAAGACCAGGCAGAAUAUGCAAUUACUCUUACAAGACACAGACAGGCAAUCCUUACCCAAAGAAAAUGGUGCUGAUCCUACUUGUGCAUGUGGGUAAUUCUACCCAUGCAGGUGACGCUACUGGGAAACUCCACGCCUGAUGCAGUUCUUAGCAGCUGGAAAUGUGGUUUUUGGACUUGGGCCCUUUAAUAUUAUUUGAACCAUGCUGUGGUUCAUUUGCUCACAGUGAGUAACAUAUUACUCUGAACAGACUCCCACUAGCUUUGGGGAGUCUGUUCACGGUGCAAGGACCCAUUCAGUAGUCAAAAUCUGGCCUCAGGCACUGCGUGCGUUAUUACAGCAGAAAUUCAUUUUGAGCUGUGCUUGGGGAAAGGCUGCACACCUCUCCAGGUGACAGCCGUCAGUGUGCAUGGUGCUGCUUCCCAGAUCAUCUCCAUGCAGCAGCUCUUCCAUAUGAGCUGUGCAGGCUGCCAGAAGCACAUGCAGCACGCUUCUCACAAGCUGCUGUGCAAACCUAUCACUAUAGGCUUCAGGCUCGUGGGUCCUGCUGGCUGUGUUGCCAUGUCCCGUUUGCGAGCCUUGAUGAGAUUGCUCCUGAGCUUUGUGUGCAUUUAGAGCCCUGGAGUGAGAUGUCAGGGACAGAAGCUGAGGGCUUUGGCACAAAUAAGAUCUUCCAAACUAAAUUUAGGGGAAACUCCACAAAACUCUAUUGAUUUUUUUUUUCUUCUCUGUACUUAAUUCAAUAUCUCUUUGCUCUAGUAGGAUAGCAAAUUGAUAGAAUCGUGUGUCCCCUUUACCACGAUGUCAUUUCAAGACAGCAACUGCCUGCUUUUAAAAGGAUGUGGAGUGCCCUCAACUAUUUUGUCUGCAAGAGCUAUGUGCGCAGAAUUUUCAGUGAAAUGUUAAGUGCAGAGUGACAAGAGUGUUCAUAUGGCUGGCUCACUGUGAAACCCGGAAUGUGUAGCACUCACAUCAGUCUGUUGGUCUGAUCAGGUUUCCCUGCUUCACUUCUCCCCUCCAGCAAGGCAGAGCUGGCUGCCAUGAGCAUCCCCUCCUGCUGCUAGGAGGAGCAGGUGAAAGAUGAGGCGAGAGUGACAAUGAGGGCAGCAGGGACUCAGGAGGGAGAAGAAAGCAGAGUGACUCACACUGGGGCUUCAAUGAUUGCCCUUAAGUGUGGCCACUGGUUACUGCUCUCACAUUUGCAGUGUUUGAGGUGUAGGAAGACAUGGUCCUCAAGAUAAGCGAACAAACAUCAGCUUUAGGGCAGUAGCCCUUCAUAUUUCAUUCCAUGGAGAGUAUCCUUCUACUAAUACUCCUAGGAAAGACCAACUGCGGAAUAGUCUGUCCUCACUUCCAUAUCUCCCAUCUGUUACACCCAGCUCCUCACACACUUAUGCUAGUCCAUUGAUUUCUGGCUCUUGCUCACUAUGUGAGUCCCAUGGCAGGUGUCUGGGACCGAGCCUCAGCUCUGCCUUGUGAUGUGCAGGUACAGUGAUGCUUGUACAUAGGACAAAGCUGACAAAGCAGAAUAUUUCACAGCUGCCUCACAUACAGUUACGGGCACAACCAGCUUGAUGCUUAGAAUUACUCUAACACAGAAUCGUGGCACAAAUUCUUACAGCAAGGGCCAAAGGAGACCUACAUUCCUCUUUCAUGUGCCUGAGACCACACUGUGUGAAGAUCAUGGUUUUAAUAUAGAUAUAACCACUAAGAGGAGAUUCAUACCUUGGCCGUUGGUCCCACUGUUACUUCAGAGUCUGCAGAUUUGCAGAAGGCAGCAGCAAAAUGGUGUCAUUGUAAUUCCUUGUAAAGAUUGGAACCUGUGCUGCAGUUUUCCCCCCCCCCCUUUUUUUUUUUCUUUCCCUCAAGUCAAGAAAGUAAAUAUAGAAAGAACUCUACAAGAAAAGUUGAGAAUUAUGUUUCUAUAAAAGAAUUUCCAGAAAGUAACAAGUGACUAAUAUUACUGAUGCAACAUGAAUAUAAUAGGUGAAUCUCAGCAGUAUAUCACAAUCAUGAUACCUAUGCCUUAGGGUAUUAAGACGUGAUGUAAACUUGAGCACUUUAGAGACCUCUGAUCUGUAUUCUGUUACAGAGGUCUGAAAGCAGUAUCUCAUUAAAAUGAGGGGGAAAAAUGAAACAACACUCGAGUCUUUAAAAAGCUGCUGCUUUCUGGGAAGAAAAAAAAAAAAGAUAUGCUCUUGUCAAAUUUCAGAUGUAAUCAUGAGCCUGAAGCAUGAGAUCUUGACAGUGUGCUAUUGUGCUAAAAUCUAUAGGAAAGCUGUCUGGACUCUUGAAAUUCUUCAGCAGAGGUUCAAGCAAAGAAAAAUAUUAAUUGGAAUGGUCACAACCAGAUGAAAUAACACAUUUCUUUUUAGGACAAUUAUCCAACUGCUUCCAACAGAACACUGGGGGAGGAAAUCACUGUGAGGAAGCCAUGUAUUGGAGCAGUUUGCCCUGGGCUGUUGAACUGCCUCCAUCCUUGUACAUUUUCCAGACCUACCUGGAUAAAACCUGAGUGCCCUGAUCAGAUAGAUCUCAGAGCCAACCCAGCAGAAGUUCUUGUGGGAGAGGAGGAAGGAUGAUAAUGACAGCUCCCUUGUGCCCACACCUGGAAACUCUUCCACCCUUCCUCCUCGUGCUGGAGGUGAGUGACCCACACAAUGCCUCCUCCUCCUGUGCAAAGCCAGAGGCAGGCAGAGGAUCAACCUGCCCAAGCAGAGCUCUGAUGAGUUCGUACAUCCUGAUGUGUCACUUUCUGCAUUAGCACAAGCUUCGAGCCAGCAAACAACUUCACUAUCAGCUCUGAAAGUGCAACCUUUCCUUUUACCUGCACACAAAAAAUGCUCUUUCUGAAGCAACUAAGAUUGCCUCCUCACUCUGCUAGGCAAGCAAUAUGACUGCAACUGUGAUUUCUCCUGAAGAUGGGACAUUAGACUUUGCCCAUCUCUGGGCAGAAGGUGGACGUAAGAGAGAAUAGAAAAGCAGUCCUGUAUUUCUCUAAUUUUAUUCUUUAUUCUUUGGAGCUUUACUCUUUUGUCAGGUUCACUUACUUUAUUAUUUCUUUCAUUUUCACUCAUCUCCAAAUGUCUCCUCCAAAUCUCUGCCAUUCAGGAAGACAAGAAUAGGCCCUUUCAUGCUGCAAAGCUACUUAUCAGACAGCCCUGCUGCCUGAUGAGUGGAGGUCCAAUUUUCACAACGGCCAUGGAGUUCUCCUCAGAUGCUAACUACGAUUUGCAAAAUUAUUCAUUAGCUGAUAUCUAAGACAUACAAUCGCACUAUUAAUUAUAUCUACCUAGAGGAGGUGGUAAAAAGAUUCGAGCCAGAAAGCCAAAUACAGACCAUCGUCCUCGUUAGCAUGAGCAUUAACUUUGCCCUGCACCAGCCUUUACGAUGUGCUUUACCUGGGGACUAGACUCCAAGCCCACUCACAGACACCAGCAGCCUAGCUACUCAUCUGUAAGGACACAGCCCCGCUGUGGAGAGCUCAAUGCUUGUGUCACACAGAGCACAAACAGCAACUAUACUCUGCAGCAAGGUUACUUGUGAUCUGGGCUGCAGCUGCCUCCCUGCUCACCCUUUCCCCCAUGCCAGCAGCAGAACCAGUCCAGAAGCUGUGCAUCUCAGAGUGGGAGUUGCCCAUGGGUAGCCCUCAGCUCUCCCAUUUGGCUGGGCAGAGCUCCAGUAUGGGAUGGCUGCCAAGCUUUUUGCCUGAGGACAGGCCUGGAGGGUUUUUGGUUAUGUGUAAGUGAGAUUUUUUUUUGGUCUGACUUUACCAGAGGAGGCCAUAUCACUCUAGGUUCCCUUUCUUAGUCUUGCAUAAACAAUUCUGUAGGCUGCAAAUAUGUGCCUCCAGGCACUUUGGGAACUGCAUAACACCUCAGCCGAAUGUUUUAUCGUGGAUAGCAGGGAGUUACUUCACUGCAAGAUGGAGAUGGUCCUUGUUAUGUAGCUAAAUAAGAAAGUUUUCCAGAGAGAGUUGCAUGUCAGUUCUAGAUUGUACCUGGCUAUGUUCUCAUCUGAGUUUUCUGAAGCCUCCAAGGUAAGAUUUUUCUGUUUAAUGUUUGAAAAAUGCAGAAUUUCCACGCGAAUGAAGAACUUAAAUUUUUAUGAGUUGUCCAAAGAAAGAGCAAAGUGCAUGUUUAGUUCCAGGGUUCAAGGGAAGGGCGGUGUGUGAGAAAGGCCACAUCGUGACAUUCAAGGCACACGGGACCUGGCACUACAAAACACCAUGCACAGUCCCAUUUUUUUUUUCUGUCAACCUUGGAAAUUAAAAUAUAACUAUUUUCUCACCAUGCCAUGCAGGUCUUUCACAGAAGGUAUAUGAUUGAAAAAGAGGACUUGGCACAUUCAUCCAAAGCACAAAUUUACUAUGAGCUGCUCUUCCAAAGAGCUUGUGCAUGGGCAAGCAAGCACUCAUCUCUUUCCCACCUCCAAUUUUUAUUUUUUAUUUUAAUCCAAGAUUCAAGUCUUCCCCCCACAGCAAAGGAGCUCUUGGUAACAUCCCGUCUGGGAGCCCAGUAGCUCCUAACAUUAGCUUGCAUCAUUAUGCAAAUACACCCCUGCUGUUCCCACACUCUGGGCAGGUAGCAAUCUCAGCUUCCCAGCACGUCCCACAGCUGCUUCCAGCCACUGCCACCAGUUAAGACUGCAGUGCCAUAAUCACAUUUGUCCUGACUUCAGUUUUAGCUUCUUUUUCUGUAGCUUCUGUGGCUAGGUGUUCCUGCGGAUCUCAUGCUCUCUGUUCCUGAAUCUCUCUACUCCAUCUUUCAAAUGCAAUAUAACAUUAAUUGUUGAAAACACACAACAUCAGCUGCAAACAUUUAAGACAGCUGAUGGAUGCAAUGUUGUCGUCAUAAUGCCUUUAGCUCAAUGUCUACAUGGAAACCUAAUUCAGUAACUUUCUGUUUACCUUUUCUGGAUAACUAUAAACCAGCUCAGCAGUUUCAAAAGACUGAAAAAACACAAAAUACUGGGUUUUUUUGAUCUUUGUUUUUUCAUUUAUAAUUUCACUUCUGAGCAAAGCCUAAGAAAGCUUUAGAACUCCUGACAAAAAGCAAGCAGUCCGUUUGUCUUCGGUCAAGAAACACCAGAGGCACUCUGAAAUCUCUUGUUCACUCAGGUCAAAUAAACUACGCUGGCCCCAGUUCUUUAUGAAACAGGAUCCAAGCCUGAACACACGGAAGGCUGGGCUGCACAGGGUUCUAGGCUGUCGUCCCUAAUUGGUGGCUUGAUGGUCCUGGGCUUCGUUUUGCACACUGAGUGCCCAGAGAGUAGCAUGGUCCCAUACAUCUAUGGGGGACAGGUCUAAUGGAGUUGAGAUGCCCCUUUUCUCUCUACCUUUCCUCAAAAGACCCCCUCACCUCCUCAGAUGGCAGAAGGGAGCAGGCAGUGAGCCCACUCCAGCUCCUUUUCCAGUGAGGGAGCCAGAAAUCUUUCCUGCCUAUCGCAAAACCUCUGCAUUGCUCCACACAGAGCAACCCUCAUGGAAAAAAGUGUACAGCCCAGUGGAUUUUCCAAUUUCGUUCUGUUCAUCUGUGGUGGCAAGAAUACUUAAAUGCCUAAACAGAGAAUACUUACGGUUGCCUGCCUGUUAACACAAUUUUUUACGCCUGUCUCCAAAGACGUAAACAUGGGAAUCAAACAUCUGCUGUGCUUUCGGCAGGAGAAGGGAUUACAAGGAGGUACAUUUUUUUUCUGUCUUAAUUUUUUUUUUCCUUAAUUGCUAAGAGGUUUAGCACAGUAAUACAAUAUAAAAGAACUUACAUUUAAAUAGGCUUACAAUUAUUUUCACUAUAUAUUAAUAAUUUGGAUGACACAUCUUACUUUUUCAGAGUUGCCAGGGUAAAGAAAUCCUGUCUAGCCCAGCAAGCUUCACCCUGCAUGGCUUCACACCAGGGAACAAGAAAGGAAUUCGUCUCUUUGAGACUCCAAAGGCUUCACCUGAAGCCACUUAAUGACCUUGCCUAGUCUGCUGUUGCUCCCACCCAUCAGGGUUUAAGACAGAUGUUUUCUGCACUGCAGCUGUGAGGAGAGUUCAUAUGUUCAAGUUUGCAAAGGAGUGAGGCCACUGUGUCUGAAGUACAUCUGUUCCCAGUCAACUGUGUUCAGCUGUGGCUGAGGGCAUGCAGAGCACUUCAGACACAGUGCCUAUUAGGGCUAAUGGCCUAAUAAGAAACAAAGGCAUGUAAGUGGAUUUGUUCAUUUCAGGCAGAAUUCUCCUUAGUAGUCACAUUUGUUUUUAAAGUGACUUAAUUUUAAGACAGAUUUCUUGUGCACUCUAAUUUGGACUGUAUUUAAGGGAAAUUAAGUAAACAAACUAGUUGCUUCUGUCUCCUCAGCAAUGUUUUACAAUAUCGUCAAAGCGAUCAAGCUUUCUUACAAAAAUGCCAUUCAAACAUUGCAGUGCAAUUAAGUACUGGGACUUAUAUAAAUGAUACAUAUGAGAUUAAUCAUCCUUUUUGUUUUUUAACUUGUACCAUGAAGACAUGGUACCCAGCACUUUGCUCUUAGAUCAUUAUGCAACCGUGCCCUCUGAGCAGAACCAGUCUUUAAUCAAAUGUCUUUCGAUGUUUUUUUAGAGAAAAUAUGUCUUUCUGUAUCACUGACUUUUGAAAGAUGAGAAAAAUAAAUUAAUUCUGCUGUGUGUUUGGGACUCGCUGCCUUCUGCCUUCUUCCAGUGAUGUAAAGGAGGAUUUUGUGAUCCUCCUUCUCUGUGCUCCAGCCAGUCUAUAUUGCUGUAAUUUUGAGUUUUGGCAAGGGCUCCUGCAAACCUGACAGACGUUUUGUCCUGUGACUCCAGCCACAGGAGAACAUGAGAGCAUUCUGAUGCCUUCAUGGCAACAAGGCGUGGGACAACACACACAGCACAAUGUGGGGCAGUAAGAACAGGAGAAUGUUGGGCACGAAGCAGUGUCUUUUUGCAUUGUACAUACAAAUUAAUGUGUGAUGGGGGAGGAAAAGAGAGCAAUUUAGGAAAGAUUUCCUUCAGCUAGAGCUGUACUUUUAAUUAAAUCUCUAUAUAUAUCGUGGUAGGAAAAGAGCACGUCAGAAAGCUAAGUUGAUCAAGUAGCUGUUAAGCCAUUUAACGUCUUGAAAAUAUUUUUCCCCUCCAAGUCAUAGAAUCAUAGAAUCAUAGAAUGGCUUGGCUUGGAAGGGACCUCAAGGAUCAUCAAGUUCCAGCCUCCCCACCACAGGUAGGGUUGCCAGCUGCUAGAUCAAGUACUAGAUCAGAUUGCCCAGGGCCCCAUCCAACCUGGCCUUAAACACCUCGAGGGACAGGGCAUCCACAACCUCUCUGGGCCUAUACUAAAGAGAGAUACUGCUCUCCAGUCCUACCGUGGAUUGUUCUACUGUAAAGAAACUUGGCUUUGUGUCUGGCAGUCACUCAUGGAAACAAGUCGACAGACACACAGGAAAGAGCUGUGUGCUUCCCCAUCGAUACGCCAUAGAACUGAAAUCAGAAGCCAUGGGGUGAUUAAGUGAUUUGGUCCUUCUUAGGUUUUUCUUUUUUGAACAAUGUGCAAGUUCUUACUCUUGUAUUGCAGGUUCUUACUCAGUGGGAAGUAGAUGGUGUUACUUAUUUUGUUUGGUCCUCAGAUAGAUUACUAUUAUUAGACAGACAUAGAAUACAUUUUAAUAUUUUUUUUAUAUUCUAAACUGAGUUGUUCGCUGCCUUGGAAAACGCACUUACUGAAAAACAAUAGUGACAGAACAUUUCUACUUUGUCAAGCAAUAUUUUAAUAAUUUAAUUGUUUGGUCCCACAUCUCAGCAAAGCCUGUGGUAAGUAAUGCAAGUUUGCAAACUGGAAAUGAACUUUAUUUUUUCAUUUAAAUGACUGACACAGAUUGUCCAGUCCUUCAGCCUCAAUUUUUUGUUCCUGUUUUCUUGGUAUUGGUACACGUGGGACAAAGAAAAUGAUGUGGCAGCCAGGUGAGCAGUUGCAUCUUUUCCUUCUUUGCUUCCUUAGAUAUACUUCCUUGCCACAGUUUUUCCUUUUUUUUUUGACUGAUUGGCCUCUGCCAGGUUCUUCCUCGUGCAACGUUCUUCCUCUUGCCCUGUCCUCUUUCCGCACCUUCAUCUCUGCCUCUCUGAAACGGUUCAUACGAUGAAGAGUCUGAAUCUCCACGAGGAGAUUAUAUCCUUUCUGCCACCAGCUAAGUGGAGCCAAGGAGAAAAAAAACUCUUCCGUUUCUAACUGAAAUGCCUUUUAAUUAUCUAAACCAAAUGGGAUGUACACUUAUCAAAACUUUCCCCUUUGUUUCAUUUCUAGGGUGAUGUUCAGUGCAUGUUGAAGGUUUCCAGCAACUGAUUAAUUACCCCAUCAUACCAGAGUAGCAUUCAGCAUUGCUGUGUCAGUCCAGGGAGCCUUGUUGUAAAAUUUAGGUCUUACCAAUUCCUGCAAAGCACCAGAAGCCACAGAUAUCUGUCUUCCACUGGUGACGUAAAGACACAUAAUCAUGGUUAGAAAAUAUUUCAAGGAUGCAUUAGUGUUUCACUAACGUAAAUGUGAUAUUUACGUAUAGGUAAUAUUCUAAGUGGCAUCUUCGUGGUUCCCCUACAAUUAAAAUAAUCAGUGGAAAGAUGCCUUCUCUUUUUUUUUUUCAGCAGUACAUUUGAUAUCUCAGCCAUUUAACACAGCAUUGAAAACAUUUUCUUUCGUGCUUUAAACCUAGAUUUGAAUAUAUCUAUUUUCUAUGAACCGAGUUCAGUACAAACAUGAUAAAAUUCUCACUAAAGGAAAGAAGCACCUGGUGUAUACUGAACUUGCUUAGGAGAUGGAUGGGAGGCACUGCAAAAAGUUGACUCAGCAAGAAAUCUUUCUGCAGAUUUUCAAGGAAAGGCUUUUUGCUCUUGCAUCUUUACAAACAUCUCUGGAUAUACUACAACAGCCCUAUAUGUAGACACACUUAUCCUGGAAUUGGCUGCUUUUCUAUUCACUGAGGCAGGAAAAAAAAGAUAUUUUUCCCCCAGAACACAGGAAUGACAUGAACAGCAAUACCUGCUGAAAUUCAUGCAUACCCUAGUGCUGUAUACUGUAUGCAUACUGUCACAUUUUUUUCAAAUGGAGAAAUACUAAAUUUAUUUCCACGUGUGGCCCUCUUGUAUCACUUAGCAUUGAUGUAUUAUUAAGGAAAGCCACGACUACCUAUGACUGCGUUGCACAUUCUGCAGGAACACACCUACUAGCCCUGAUAACAUGGCCAUGUGAUUUGCAUAAUAACUUUCUGUCUAUCUAAAUUCACGUUUCUAUUACAACUGUGCAUGCGAUUCCUAGUGUUUUUCUCUGCUGUUAAACAGAUGCUGCAUUUCAGACUUGGUGAAAUAGUUCUCUCUCUCUAUUUUUUUUUCCCUUCACAGAACUGCUUUGGGAUCUCUUUAGCUGAAAGAUAGCAUAUAAAUGCAAAUCACCCUUGGCCACAUAGCCCAGAAUUACUUUUGCAUUUUAUUCUUGAUCUGCUUCUGUAUAUAGAGCAUUCCUGAAAGACAGUGAAAUUAGAUUUACUCAUAUGGCUGACCUGCUUUGAGGAAAACAAACACAUGAUAGCCUUGUGCUACAUGAAUGUCAUGAUCUAAUGAAUGAUCCUGCUGAAAAGUAUCUCCUUUAAUUAAUUACUGACAAGACAAUUUCAUUUCAUUUAUAGCUUUAGAAAACAAACAAAGCAAAAAAUCCCAAAGCCUACAUAUAUGUAUGUCACACCUUCUCAAGUUUCUUUUUUCCCUAGUGUUAUUAACACAGAUAUAUACAUUUGCACCAAUAAUUGCUCUUUGUUUGAAUCCUUUUAAGCAAGUCUCCUUUAGUAAUGACUAUCACAAAACAUAUUCUGGCAGAAUAUGCAAAUUCUGCAAAAGAUAAGUCUGUUUAUGUUACUCAGUAAAGACAUAACGUUUACUCAAGAACAGAAACUCUACCUGCAUGCAAAUUAAAUUUAGAGCACUCCUUUGCAGAUAGUUAAAGUCUGUCAGGCCAGGGGCAAUCCAUGAAUGUGACUGCAGUGAUGGAAGGUAAAGUGAGUAAGAAGUCUGAUCUGCAGACAGUGCACAUGUACCCGAUGCAGGAAAAUUCCCUCCAUGGGAUUGUCAAUGGUUUGUUCACCAUCCACAAGAAUUGGCUUCCUGUGUUAUGAAACUUUGGAAAAGCAGACAGAAAAGAAAUACGAAUAAAAACGAAACUCCAAUUAAAAGAGCUAGAGCCAAGUGCUUACUGCAUCACG
ensembl:lncRNA